UACGUAGGUGGCAAGCGUUGUCCGGAAUUACUGGGCGUAAAGCGCGCGCAGGCGGCCUCUUAAGUCUGAUGUGAAAGCCCCCGGCUCAACCGGGGAGGGCCAUUGGAAACUGGGAGGCUUGAGUAUAGGAGAGAAGAGUGGAAUUCCACGUGUAUCGGUGAAAUGCGUAGAUAUCCGAAGGAACAUCAGUGGCGAAGGCGACUCUCUGGUCCAAGACUGACGCUGAGGCGCGAAAGCGUGGGGAGCAAACAGG
rnacentral:misc_RNA from 1 species